rnacentral:rRNA from 1 species
AGAGUGAACGCUGGCGGCAGGCCUAACACAUGCAAGUCGAACGGCAGCACAGCAGUAGCAAUACUGUGGGUGGCGAGUGGCGGACGGGUGAGGAAUACAUCGGAAUCUACCUUGUCGUGGGGGGAUAACGUAGGGAAACUUACGCUAAUACCGCAUACGAACUAUGGUUGAAAGCGGCGGACCGCAAGGCGUCGCGCGAUUGGAUGAGCCGAUGUCCGAUUAGCUAGUUGGCGGGGUAAAGGCCCACCAAGGCGACGAUCGGUAGCUGGUCUGAGAGGAUGAUCAGCCACACUGGAACUGAGACACGGUCCAGACUCCUACGGGAGCAGCAGUGGGGAAUAUUGGACAAUGGGGGCAACCCUGAUCCAGCCAUGCCGCGUGUGUGAAGAAGGCCGUUCGGUUAGUAAAGCUAACGUUUUGUUAGGGAAGUAAAAGACAACUGGCUAAAUACCGUUACGGUUAGUCGAAUCGACGGUAAACCCC